GCGGCCGUGAUGGAAUUGGCAGUCAUGCUGGCUUUAGGUGCCAGUGGGGUAACACCCGUGAGGGUUCGAAUCCCUCCGGCCGCACCG
rnacentral:tRNA from 1 species